AAUCAACGCUGGCGGCGUGCCUCAGACAUGCAAGUCGAACGAUUAAGACUCCCUUCGGGGAGUGCAUAAAGUGGCGCACGGGUGAGUAACACGUAAGUAAUCUACCCUCGAGUGGGGAAUAACGUCCGGAAACGGGCGCUAAUACCGCAUAAUGCAGCGGCACCGCAAGGUGACAGUUGUUAAAGGAGCAAUCCGCUUGAGGAGGAGCUUGCGGCAGAUUAGCUUGUUGGUAAGGUAACGGCUUACCAAGGCUACGAUCUGUAUCCGGCCUGAGAGGGCGGUCGGACACACUGCCACUGAAUAACGGGUCAGACUCCUACGGGAGGCAGCAGUCGGGAAUUUUGGGCAAUGGGCGAAAGCCUGACCCAGCAACGCCGCGUGAAGGAUGAAGUAUUUCGGUAUGUAAACUUCGAAAGAAUGGGAAGAAUAAAUGACGGUACCAUUUAUAAGCUCCGGCUAACUACGUGCCAGCCGCCGCCGUAACAC
rnacentral:rRNA from 1 species